rnacentral:rRNA from 1 species
GGGUUGUGAGGUUAAGCGAAUAAGCGUACACGGUGGAUGCCUAGGCAAUCAGAGGCGAUGAAGGACGUGCUAAUCUGCGAAAAGCGUCGGUAAGGUGAUAUGAACCGUUAUACCCGACGAUAUCCGAAUGGGGAAACCCAGUAUCCAAUGGAUACUAUCAUUAACUGAAUCCAUAGGUUAAUGAGGCGAACCGGGAGAACUGAAACAUCUCAGUACCCCGAGGAAAAGAAAUCAACCGAGAUUCCCCUAGUAGCGGCGAGCGAACGGGGAGCAGCCCAGAGUCUUAAUCAAUAGCAGUGUCAGGAGAACGGUCUGGAAAGUCCGGCAGUAAAGGGUGAUAGCCCCGUAUCUGAAGAUGCUGUUGUUGUGAACUCGACGAGUAGGGCGGGACACGUGUUAUCCUGUCUGAAUAUGGGGGGACCAUCCUCCAAGGCUAAAUACUCCUGAUUGACCGAUAGUGAACCAGUACCGUGAGGGAAAGGCGAAAAGAACCCCGGCGAGGGGAGUGAAAAAGAACCUGAAACCGUGUACGUACAAGCAGUAGGAGCCUCUUUAUGGGGUGACUGCGUACCUUUUGUAUAAUGGGUCAGCGACUUAUAUUCUGUAGCAAGGUUAACCGUAUAGGGGAGCCGUAGGGAAACCGAGUCUUAACUGGGCGAAUGAGUUGCAGGGUAUAGACCCGAAACCCGGUGAUCUAUCCAUGGGCAGGUUGAAGGUUGGGUAACACUAACUGGAGGACCGAACCGACUAAUGUUGAAAAAUUAGCGGAUGACUUGUGGAUGGGGGUGAAAGGCCAAUCAAACCGGGAGAUAGCUGGUUCUCCCCGAAAGCUAUUUAGGUAGCGCCUCGUGAACUCAUCUUCGGGGGUAGAGCACUGUUUCGACUAGGGGGUCAUCCCGACUUACCAACUCGAUGCAAACUGCGAAUACCGAAGAAUGUUAUCACGGGAGACACACGGCGGGUGCUAACGUCCGUCGUGAAGAGGGAAACAACCCAGACCGCCAGCUAAGGUCCCAAAGUCAUGGUUAAGUGGGAAACGAAGUGGGAAGGCUCAGACAGCCAGGAUGUUGGCUUAGAAGCAGCCAUCAUUUAAAGAAAGCGUAAUAGCUCACUGGUCGAGUCGGCCCGCGCGGAAGAUGUAACGGGGCUAAACCAUGCACCGAAGCUGCGGCAGCGACACAUAGUGUUGUUGGGUAGGGGAGCGUUCUGUAAGCCUGCGAAGGUGUACUGUGAGGUAUGCUGGAGGUAUCAGAAGUGCGAAUGCUGACAUAAGUAACGAUAAUGCGGGUGAAAAACCCGCACGCCGGAAGACCAAGGGUUCCUGUCCAACGUUAAUCGGGGCAGGGUGAGUCGACCCCUAAGGCGAGGCUGAAAAGCGUAGUCGAUGGGAAACGGGUUAAUAUUCCCGUACUGGUGGUAACUGCGAUGGGGGAACGGAGAAGGCUAGGUUGUCCGGGCGACGGUCGUCCCGGUUCAAGCAGGUAGGCAGAGUGAUUAGGCAAAUCCGGUCACUUAAUGCUGAGAUGUGAUGACGAACCACCAAGGUGGUGAAGCAAUUGAUGCCCCGCUUCCAGGAAAAGCCUCUAAGCUUCAGGUUACCAACAAUCGUACCCCAAACCGACACAGGUGGUCAGGUAGAGAAUACUCAGGCGCUUGAGAGAACUCGGGUGAAGGAACUAGGCAAAAUGGUGCCGUAACUUCGGGAGAAGGCACGCUGGCGGUAGGUAAAGUCCCUCGCGGACGGCGCUGAAGCCAGUCGAAGAUACCAGCUGGCUGCAACUGUUUAUUAAAAACACAGCACUGUGCAAACACGAAAGUGGACGUAUACGGUGUGACGCCUGCCCGGUGCUGGAAGGUUAAUUGAUGGGGUUAGCGCAAGCGAAGCUCCUGAUCGAAGCCCCAGUAAACGGCGGCCGUAACUAUAACGGUCCUAAGGUAGCGAAAUUCCUUGUCGGGUAAGUUCCGACCUGCACGAAUGGCGUAAUGAUGGCCAGGCUGUCUCCACCCGAGACUCAGUGAAAUUGAACUCGCUGUGAAGAUGCAGUGUACCCGCGGCAAGACGGAAAGACCCCGUGAACCUUUACUAUAGCUUGACACUGAACAUUGAGCCUUGAUGUGUAGGAUAGGUGGGAGGCUUUGAAGUGUGGACGCCAGUCUGCAUGGAGCCAACCUUGAAAUACCACCCUUUAACGUUUGAUGUUCUAACCUAGGCCCAUAAACUGGGUCGGGGACCGUGUCUGGUGGGUAGUUUGACUGGGGCGGUCUCCUCCUAAAGAGUAACGGAGGAGCACGAAGGUUGGCUAAGCAUGGUCGGACAUCAUGCGGUUAGUGCAAAGGCAUAAGCCAGCUUGACUGCGAGAGUGACGGCUCGAGCAGGUACGAAAGUAGGUCUUAGUGAUCCGGUGGUUCUGAAUGGAAGGGCCAUCGCUCAACGGAUAAAAGGUACUCCGGGGAUAACAGGCUGAUACCGCCCAAGAGUUCAUAUCGACGGCGGUGUUUGGCACCUCGAUGUCGGCUCAUCACAUCCUGGGGCUGAAGUAGGUCCCAAGGGUAUGGCUGUUCGCCAUUUAAAGUGGUACGCGAGCUGGGUUUAGAACGUCGUGAGACAGUUCGGUCCCUAUCUGCCGUGGGCGUUGGAAGAUUGAGAGGGGUUGCUCCUAGUACGAGAGGACCGGAGUGAACGCACCACUGGUGUUCGGGUUGUCAUGCCAAUGGCAUUGCCCGGUAGCUAAGUGCGGAAGAGAUAACCGCUGAAAGCAUCUAAGCGGGAAACUUGCCUCGAGAUGAGUCUUCCCUGUCGCUUUAAGCGACCUAAAGGAACGUUUAAGACUAAGACGUUGAUAGGCUGGGUGUGUAAGCGUAGCGAUACGUUGAGCUAACCAGUACUAAUGAACCGUGAGGCUUAACCUGACAACACCGAAAGUGUUUUG